rnacentral:lncRNA from 1 species
CACACUAGUGGUAUUUGCUUUAAAAAAAAAAAAGCAUUGGACAGCACUACAGAUAUCGACUCAGACUCCAAAGUUAAAAUGACGAACUUUUUUAGGCACACUGCGUUCUUUCUAGUUGCGGGAGAUGAGUUGAAGAACCAAAAACAGAGCAUUGCAUGUAAGCAUGCAACCAGCAAACCGGCUGCAGUGUAAAGUCCUAACACAAUUAGCUCAUUUGAUUCAUGGAGCAAAUAACAAUAAUUGGUAAUGAACUUAUUGAUGCUGUCUGUGUAGAAGGGAAGUGUCCAAAAAUUUCUAGGCAUUUUAGUAAUGAGAAUAAUUUGAAAUGAAUUCAAAGUUCCCUCUUAUUUAUCUAUCAAUAUAUUUGUAUUGUUAAAAAAAAAACCCCCCUAAACCCUAAACCAUACUGCAUCAGGUUCAGGCAGCUUUGAACCAGACUUUAUCUAUUGAGGAGGGCUUCUGGAAGCAAAGGGCUGGCUCACGUUGGGUAUGUGAAGGAGAUCACAAUACUCGAUACUUCCAUGCGAUGGUUCAAGGACGCCGUAUCAGAUCGCGUAUUAGGUCCAUCAGGACACAGGCAGGGGAAGUCUUAGCUACUCCUGCUGAUAUUCAGACCUCGGCUAUUGCUUUCUACCAGGAUCUCUUAUCUACUCCUCCACAACCUUUGGACCACAUCCGUUCUGAUGUCAUUCCGAG